rnacentral:tRNA from 1 species
GGAGGAGUGGCAGAGCGGUUGAAUGCGCCGGUCUUGAAAACCGGUAGGCCCGCAAGGGUCUCAUGAGUUCGAAUCUCAUCUCCUCCG